UACGUAGGGUGCAAGCGUUAAUCGGAAUUACUGGGCGUAAAGCGUGCGCAGGCGGUUAUGCAAGACAGAUGUGAAAUCCCCGGGCUUAACCUGGGAACCGCAUCUGUGACUGCAUAGCUGGAGUACGGCAGAGGGGGAUGGAAUUCCGCGUGUAGCAGUGAAAUGCGUAGAUAUGCGGAGGAACACCGAUGGCGAAGGCAGUCCCCUGGGCCUGUACUGACGCUCAUGCACGAAAGCGUGGGGAGCAAACAGG
rnacentral:rRNA from 1 species